UUUGGCAAAGGUGUUGUGGUUUUGACUUUUUUCGUUCGUGUUCUGUGAGCAUUAAGUGACAACAAAACAAUCUUAUGUCAAAACUCAAAACAAAACCCAUUUGUUAAAAAUGAGUGAUAGACGUUCUUCUGAUAUAAAUCCACCAAAUUCGAGGCUUUUCGUAAUUGGAUGCAAAACUCUGACUGAAAAAGAUUAUUGGGAUGCUUUUCAAGAGUUUGGGGAUAUUGAAGAAGUUUGGGUAGUCAAAGAUAGAAAUACAGGAGAAAGUAAAGGUGUCACAUAUAUAAAAUAUGCAAAAACCUCUCAAGCUGCCAAGGCCCUUGAGGCUAUGAAUGGAACAACGAUUGGAAACGCAAAUAGAAAUAUAAAAGUUAUGGUAGCUGCUAGUAAAGACCAGGGAACUAAGAGGGAUGACAAAGAAACAGAGGACGAAAAGACAACCAGAUUAUUUGUUAAAAUUCCUAAGGAAUGGACAAAAACAGAACUUUUUGAUGCAUUCCGAAAUUUUGGAAAUAUAGACUAUGCUAAUGUUAUUAAAGACAGAAAUACAAAUGAAAAUAAAGGAUUUGGAUUUGUUAAGUUUUUCAAAUUUUCAGAUGCUGCAAGAGCUUUUGAAGAGUGCGACAAAAACUUCAGAGCAGUUUUUGCUGAACCCAAACAUAGUGUAGUGAAUAAGAAAAAUGAGGACACACGUUUUUUAGGAUUCAACAAUAGUUUCAGAGAUAUUCCUAGUAGUUUUCGAAAUAAUUCUAGAACUGAUAAUUCUCUUCUUUCUACUCCAGAUGUGGGUAAGAGGGGGGACUUUACAGGAUUAAUAGUAUCAUGCUCACCACUAUUGAGGCAGGAAGAAGUUUGGAGACUGUUUGAUAUCAUACCAGAACUGGAAUAUUGUCAACUCAGGGUUUUUGGAGCUGGUCCUCGUCCCACAACGGCAGUAGCAUCUGUAGUGUAUAAUAGUCCAAAAUGGGCAGCAUAUGCUCUUGAAAAAUUACAUGGUUUUGAAUAUCCACUUGGAACACCAUUACUCAUCAAACCUGAUUUUGAUUCCCCGACAUCUAGAAAUAGAUCUCCCCACUCGCGAAACCUGAGAAAUGAAAGGGAUUACAGGGACACCAGGUCGACCGAAAGAGGCAGUUCAAGUAGUACUGCAUCUUCUACGACUGAUUUGGCGAAAUUAGCAGAAACUUUGGCUCAAGCUUCUAGCCUUCUACAAGCAGCUGGUAUAUCCACAGAUCUAUUAACGAAUAAAUUAACUCCUAAUAUAGAGUCAAUUUGCAAUGUCAAACUACCUGAUGUCAAACCACUUGCGAAUAUAGAUGCUUUUGUUGAAGCCAGGUGCUUCAUUGUAUGCUCUCCAAACCCACCCCCUAUAAAUAUAUUAAGGGACAUUUUUUGUCGGUUUGGAAAUUUAAUAGAUGUGUACCUGUUGAGCGGUAAAAACUGUGGGUAUGCCAAAUAUAGCAAAAAAGAAUCUGCCGAUGAAGCUAUCAAGACCCUCCAUGGAGCCGAGAUUUGCAGUUGCAGGGUGAAAGUUCUCGAAGCAGCUGAGCAACCAGAGAUCAGAAGGAAGAGACCUAGAAUAGAAGAUGAUCAAUAAUAGGAUUGGUGAGCAUUUUAUUAUUUCUUCAAAGCAUACAAACCAACAAUUGCUCAAAUCAACUCACUGACCGUUGAACAGUUUCAAUAAAUAAUGACUGACGUUAAUGAUUUCCCAACCAUACUAUAUAGUCUUAAUGAUAAUUUACCAAGUUUACCGACCUAUUUAUUUUAUUUUAUUCUGCCUCAAAUAAGGCGUCGCCAGUUAAGAUUUCAAAGUUACUCCGUUCUCUGCUCACAAGAAUCGCAGAAGUCUGAACAACUGAACGCGCCCUUUAGAGAUAUCAAUCUUUUGUCUCUACAACUUUUCUUUGCGAUGCAUUGUUUUCAAGUAAAAACAAAAUUCUAGGCUGAAUGACUCGCCUGGUACCCUGUCUGAAUAAUUUCAGUUUUUAAUUUGAAUAAGUCCUACACUUUCAAAGAGUGAAGAAAAUUGUCCUGUCCUGAUAUUUUUAUAAUUUAGGUUUCGAAUAUGUACGAUAUUUUACGGAAAGUACUCAAGAUACAUCCAUUAAAUUUUAGUACAAAAAUCGGAAUAUUUUUACGCUUUCCAUUCGAAUAGUAUUCAAAAGGUUGCAGGUUUGGUAAUUCAAUAAAAAAAUCAUACCGACAUGCCUAAUAAACUGUGAAAGCAUUGUUCUAAAGGCCCGUUUACACGCUCAAACCAUUUGCGCAAGCCGAAUUAAUAGACUUCUGUAAAGUCUGUCCCGGACAGAAAAUCUGCUUGAGGUUGGUGCAUG